AUUGAACGCUGGCGGCAUGCCUUACACAUGCAAGUCGAACGGUAACGGGUCCUUCGGGAUGCCGACGAGUGGCGAACGGGUGAGUAAUAUAUCGGAACGUGCCCAGUAGUGGGGGACAACUGCUCGAAAGAGCAGCUAAUACCGCAUACGACCUGAGGGUGAAAGGGGGGGAUCGCAAGACCUCUCGCUAUUGGAGCGGCCGAUAUCAGAUUAGCUAGUUGGUGGGGUAAAGGCCUACCAAGGAAACGAUCUGUAGUUGGUCUGGGAGGACGACCAGCCACACUGGGACUGAGACAUGGCCCAGACUCCUACGGGAGGCAGCAGUGGGGAAUUUUGGACAAUGGGCGCAAGCCUGAUCCAGCAAUGCCGCGUGCAGGAAGAAGGCCUUCGGGUUGUAAACUGCUUUUGUCAGGGAAGAAAUCUUCUGGGCUAAUACCCCGGGAGGAUGACGGUACCUGAAGAAUAAGCACCGGCUAACUACGUGCCAGCCGCCGCCGUAA
rnacentral:rRNA from 1 species